UAAUACAUAAGUAACCUGCCCUAGACAGGGGGAUAACUAUUGGAAACGAUAGCUAAGACCGCAUAGGUACGGACACUGCAUGGUGACCGUAUUAAAAGUGCCUCAAAGCACUGGUAGAGGAUGGACUUAUGGCGCAUUAGCUGGUUGGCGGGGUAACGGCCCACCAAGGCGACGAUGCGUAGCCGACCUGAGAGAGUGACCGGCCACACUGGGACUGAGACACGGCCCAG
rnacentral:rRNA from 1 species